GAAGGAACAAUAUAAUAAAAGUUCUGUUUGAUGCAUUUUGUAAAGGGACCACAGUCUAGUGAUCAGCUACAUCAUUCAUUUACACUCCACUUUAUUUUUUUUGGAUAUUGAUCAUUUUUUAUUUUUUAUUUUUUCUCCUUUCACCUAUAACACUAAGAAGUCAAAACAAUACACUGAGAUUUGUAAUCAAAUUCUUAAUUUUGUGUGAGUAGAUUAAGUUUGAGAUAUGGUCAAAUUAGAAUUAUCAACGACUAUGUUACGAUGAUAUGAGCUAUAAUGAUGAAAUCACUUAUGUAUGUAUUAUACUAAAUUAACUCUAAUUUUCUACUAAAAUAGACAAACUAAAGAUGAGAUCUGCCAAAGU
rnacentral:lncRNA from 1 species